CCAGAGGCUGUGUGCGACACAAUUCAAAGCGUUUUUCUGAGCGAUUAUCGUGCACGUGUGGGAUGGUCAAAAUAAAAAUUACCCACUGUGUAGACGUCAACAGAGUGGCCAACGCUAGAAGCAGCCCUGACAGUUGAUUUGUUUACCCGUUCAAGAGCAUUGCUAAGAGCCGCACUUGGUGUUGUUUCGUUGAUGAAUCGCGGAAAGGUACGCUGAUGCAUCCGUACUACAUAAUGGGAUAGUUUAUGCCAAUACAGUUGCUACAUAAUAUCCUAGUCCGGGCGCUAGGUUAGGAAGCUCCCGCUUAGCAUAACAACACCGAUUUAUGAACUCGAAAGAUGGCACAAAUGCUGAAUCUCUCCUCUACGGUUGAGGUAGAGCAAAUUUAAAAUAGCUUUAAAUGAUGGAGGAAUACACCAAAAUCGCAACGAUUCAGGAGGUCCCCUGAAAUAUCCUAGUCCACAACAUUAAGUUAAACUGAAUGCUUUCUGGAUAGGGGCGAUUCAGCAUCUUUUCCAGGCAUUGAAAAUGGUAACCAAGCCGUAAAAGUGCCUGUAUAUCACGCCUCCUCUUCAUACAUCACCAUGAAGGGUCAACAUGAUCGGGUAAAAUAGCGAGGCCUUAAGCUCCCCUGCUUGUAUUGUUAUUUAAACCAAACGGGUAAUUAUGGUUUAUAAUCCACAUUGACUAGGAAGAAAAAUGCCUAGAAGGCACCAAGCCUAGUUCAACGAUUAUAAUCAGCUAUAGCGCAAUGCGAAGGUACUAUAGCAAACGAUAGAAUAUUCCAGACAAGCAUUACUAGCCUGAUCAAAAACAAGGAUGAGCUGGAAAGUUUUUCUAUUAGCAGCGAAAUACGAAGGCGCAUUGUGUCUACCGCGGGCUCCACGGACUCCUGAGAUCCAUAUGAAUCCUACAACGCACGGAAUAUCGCGCACUGAUACGGCCGGUAGUCCUCAACGGGCACGAGUCCUGGACUAUGCCUGUAGGACACCAAUGCACCUGCCAUUUUGGCUAGACCUGAGGAGGAUCGAAUGCAGCCGGGGGUGGAGGAUGGCUGCACAACCAUGGACCGUGUUUCCUGGAAACGGAUUGGAUACCAGGCCAUGUCUUAAAGAUGUGUUCCAUAGGAGUAGGCUAUGAAAGAAGAAGAAGACCUUGCUUCGUCAGUUUAGAAGAAAAGAAGAGUCUAGGAAGCUAGAACUAACAAAAUCUCAUGAGCUUAGGGAAUAGUUUCGGAUUACUCAAACACAACCAAACAAGUAGCACAGCUAACAGUCUUAUACAUCAGUAGUUGUCCCGCUUGCCGGAACAAGUUUAUUACAUCGGGUUUGAUUAACAAGAUAUACGAGAUGAUGGGUGCCGGGAUGGGCACCUCACUCCGUUCAGUGA